UACAAGGGCAUUCCUGAUUAAGAUCUUUGUUGAAGGAUAGUCUAAAGGAACUGUGCUAUAUGAGUGCAUCAAAAGAAUAAAAUAAACAUGAGGGAUGAAAGAAUUUAAGCAAGAGACUUGAAAAGAUUUCUCUCAGAGGAAUGGGGUUCUUUGACAGCCUGUGAACUGGGAAGAAAAUUGUCCCUUUCGAGGGGAUACUGUCCAAUUUAUGAAGAGAAUGAUUUGAUGUAGAUGAAUUGUACGAUAGGGUACAAGAGGACCACAGGACUC